GCGCACGCACACACACACGGACUUAGAUUCUCCCCAUUUGAGCAGCUUUCCUCCAGCUGUUUGGGCGAGUGUGCAGUGCUGCCAUAUAAAUGUGCUCAAUAAAGCCCAUGGUGAUGACUCAUCUCGGCACUAUCUGAGCUCCACUUUCCCCAUCCAGAGUCCCGAGUUUCUGCAUUAAACGUGGUCGUCAUAACCCAGUUCUGUCCGGCAGGAAGCCCUUGCUACAGACCUGGGUCCAGUGUGUCUCCUCUGGACAGUUGGGAGGUGGCAGCCCUAUGGUUCGUGUGGGUUCUUCCCACAGGUAACUGAAACAGAGGGCCAGAGGGAUGGGACCCCAGCAUAGAAUAUGAAUGUAUAGGCCAGGCGUGAGCCACCGCACCCAGCCUGGGGUUUGGCUUUAUAGACUAAGGGCUGAAGAAAGCAGAAACAGAACAAAAAGCAUAUUGGUCAUUUCAAAGUUAAAUUCUUUGUAAGGCAGGAAGAGAUACAGGACAAUACAAAGACAACAAGAAAAAGAUAACC
rnacentral:lncRNA from 10 species